CUACGGGAGGCAGCAGUGGGGAAUUUUGCGCAAUGGGCGAAAGCCUGACGCAGCAACGCCGCGUGAGUGAUGAAGGUCUUCGGAUCGUAAAGCUCUUUCAGCCGGGACGAAACACCUGGAGCUAAUACCUCCGGGCUUGACGGUACCGGAAGAAGAAGCACCGGCUAACUCUGUGCCAGCAGCCGCGGUAAUACAGAGGGUGCGAGCGUUGUUCGGAAUUAUUGGGCGUAAAGCGCGUGUAGGCGGUGGUGCAUGUCGGGUGUGAAAGCCCUCGGCUUAACCGAGGAAGUGCGCCCGAAACUGCAUCGCUGGAGUGCCGGAGAGGGUGGCGGAAUUCCCGGUGUAGAGGUGAAAUUCGUAGAUAUCGGGAGGAACACCAGUGGCGAAGGCGGCCACCUGGACGGACACUGACGCUGAGACGCGAAAGCGUGGGUAGCAAACAGGAUUAGAAACCCCAGUAGUCCG
rnacentral:rRNA from 1 species